GGGGAAGGGCCGUAGCUCAGAGGUACAGCAUCUGGUUUGCAUGCAGAAGGUCUCAGGUUCAACCCCCGGCUUCUCCA